rnacentral:rRNA from 1 species
AAGACGUGCGCAGGCGGUUAUGUAAGACAGAUGUGAAAUCCCCGGGCUCAACCUGGGAACUGCAUUUGUGACUGCAUGGCUAGAGUACGGUAGAGGGGGAUGGAAUUCCGCGUGUAGCAGUGAAAUGCGUAGAUAUGCGGAGGAACACCGAUGGCGAAGGCAAUCCCCUGGACCUGUACUGACGCUCAUGCACGAAAGCGUGGGGAGCAAACAGGAUUAGAUACCCCAGU